rnacentral:snRNA from 12 species
GCACUUACCUGGCGUAGGGGUUACCGUGAUCAUGAAGGCGGUUCCCCAGGAGUGAGGCUUGGCCAUUGCACUACGGUUGAGUUGACCUCCGCGGCUAUUCCUAAUGUGAAUAUUUCGUGCGUGUAAUUUUUGGUAGCUAAACCACUAA